UGUACGGUCACUGGUGGAUGACUUGGUUGGCUAGCCGAUGAAGGACGUGGCAAGCAGCGAAAUUCCGUGGGUAGGGGCAUGAACCCUUUGAUCCGCGGGUUUCCGAAUGGGACUUCCUCAUGUGGGUUAAUACCCCACAUGGAUCCGGGGUCGCAGCCGGAUUGGGAACGCUCGGAAUUGAAGCAUCUUAGUACGAGCAGGAAAAGAAAACAAUAGUGAUUCCCCUAGUAACAGCGAGCGAACGGGGAAAAGGCCAAACCGAAUCUCUGCAUGACGAGUGCAGAGGGAUGUGGUGUUAGGGCCAAGGACAAUUGCCAACACGCCUAAGCCGAAGUCGUCUGGGACGACGUGGCGCAGAGGGUGACACCCCCGUAGGUGUAAAGCGUAGGCAUGUCCUUGGAUCCGGAGUAGCGCGGGUCGGUCUUCUCGCGUAAAAAUCGCAGUCGCAAUCUGUGAAGCCUAAAUACUAAGCCAAACCGAUAGCUAACUACGUAGCGCGAGCGAAAGUCGAAAAGCGCCGCGGGAGCGGGGUGAAAAGCACCUGAAACCAGUGAUCUAUAAAAAGGAUGCCGAGUAAAAGAGUAGAUGCUCGGGGAACGAAACGAGAGUGAUCUCGGUGUAGGACCCGAGCGGAUCGAUUCGGCAUCAUCCGUCUAGAAUCACGGGCCAGGGAGUUCAUGGGCGUGGCGAGGAUAAGGCAUCGAGCCGUAAACGAAGGGAAGCCAACAAGCCCGCAGCCGGCUUGCCGGUCAGGGGCGGCGUGUGAAAGCGCGUGAAGUCACUCUCAUGACACGAGAAGCCAGCCGAUCUAGGCUUGACCAGGGUGAAGCCAAGCGAAAGCCUGGUGGAGGCCCGAAAGGUUUCUGACGUGCAACUCGUUCCGUUGAGUUGAGCCUAGGGGCAAAAGACCUAUCUAGACUGGAGAUCGCUCGUUCUCCGCGAAUUUGCUCGCAGGCAAGCCUUGCUGGAGACAUCAUGUGGUGUAGAGCACUCUCGGAUUGGCGCGGGCGGCGUCAAGCUGCUCACCAUCCUGGAAACUCCGAAGCUGCAUGAGUCGUAGAAGGCAGGAGUCGGGUGCCCGGGGUAAGCUCGGCAGGCCGAGACGGGGAGAACCGAGAGCACGGUUAAGGUCCCUAAGUACCAGAUAAGUGCGGUGAAGAAGGGAGUCGAGAGCCACAGACAGUCUGAGGGUGAGCUCAGAAGCAGCUACCCCCGAACGAAAGCGUAACAGCUCACAGACCGAGGCUCUCGGCCUUGAAAAUGGACGGGGCUAAAUUUGGUCACCGAAACCGUGCAGCACGCAGGUAAGACUGCGCGACCUGGUAGCGGAGCGAUCCGGUUGGGAAGAAGCGGGGGCGUGAGCUCCUGUGGACCGGCCGGGUUUGAUGAUCCUGGCGAUAGUAACAGCGAAGCAUGGUGAGAAUCCAUGCCACCGGAAGGGAAAGGGCUCUUCGGCGAUGCGUCGUCAGCCGAAGUUCAGUCGGUCCUAAGUGACGUCGUAACACGAGCGUCAUGAAAGGGAAUCAGGUUAAUAGUCCUGAACCUCGGAGAUACGAUUCGCGGCAACGCUAUGCCGGACUUGCGACACAUCGGGGUAGACCAAGCACGGCUCUCGCUGUGUUUAACACUAUAAGCGUGCCAAGUACCGUAAUGGUGAGAGGCAGGUAAAAGGUGGAAUAGCGGGUGGUUGGACAUCCGUUUGGUUGAUUUCUGGUGACCGUGAAAAACGAGUCCGGAAGAAUUCUCCGAGUCCGUACCCAGAACCGACACAGGUUCCCUGGCUGAGCAGGCCAAGGUGUAUCGGGAAUCACUCUCCUUAGGGAAAUCGGCCAAUUAGCGGCAUAACUUCGGGAUGUGCCGUGCCUGGGUUGGUGAAAGCUUUCCUAGGCCUUAGUAACUCGGGGGUGCCAACUGUAUAAUAAAAACAUAGCUCACUGCGAGCGCGUAAGCGUUAGUACAGUGGGUCAAUCCUGGUCUGUGCCCGUCUGUUAAAGCCCAGAAAUGGGUCGAAGCACGGGUUAACGCCGGGACUAACUAUGAGUCUCUUAAGGUAGCCAAAUGCCUUGUCGGUUAAAUGCCGACGUGCAUGAAGGGAUCAACGAGCUCCCCACUGUCCCAAGGAGGGACCCGGUGAAGUCACAACGUAUCGAAUAGGAUACGUGGUUCUAGGGGGAUAAGAAGUCCCUGCGGAGGUUUACUACGCAGUCUGUCAUUGCCGUUUCUGGUCCGGCACAGAGCAUAGUCAGGAGCGACGAAGCAGACUCUUCGGGGUCUGUGGAUGCGAUCAUGUAAUACUGACUGUCUAACUGGGGACGGCUAACCCGAGGCAAGAGUCUUCGGGGACACUGGCAGAUAGGCAGUUCGGCUGGGGCGGCACACGGCUGACAAGAGAUCAGCCGUGACCAAUGCUGAGCUCAGAGGCGACGGGAACGUCUCGUUGAGAUUAAGGGCAUAAGCUCGGCUGACAGGAUCCUGCAACACGACGGAUCCUGGGCGGAAACGCUGGCCUAGCGAACGUUUAUCGGCCUAUUGUGAGCGGUAGACAUGACAGAAAACUUACCCCAGGGGUAACAGAGUCGUCGCGCGCAAGAGUUCAUAUCGACCGCGCGGCUUGCUUCCUCGACGUCGGCUCUUGGUAUCCUCCCGUUGCAUAAGGCGGGAAGGGUGCGGGUGCUCACCGAUUAAAACCGAACGUGAGCUGGGUUUAGACCGUUGCGAGACAGGUUGGUUUUUAUCUCCUAGAACUGUUGGGUGUCUGACGGCAGGCGCUAUACGGUACGAGAGGAACUAUAGGGCGUGGCCUACGGUAUAUCGAUUGUCCGAGAGGGCAUUGUCGAGUAGCUGAGUCAUAAUGGAUAAACGCUGAAUGCAUCUAAGCGUGAAGUCAGACCGGAAAAUAGACACCCACUUUGCAAGCGUUGGGUUUAGACCCAGUGUGGGACUGGUGACAGUAACGCACAGCUUGUAAACGAGGACUCUCGUAAAAGACGAGGUAAAUAGGGCGGGGGUGUAAGCACGAAGCUUCGGCGACGUGUUCAGCUCACCGCUACUAAU
rnacentral:rRNA from 1 species